UUUCCGUAGGUGAACCUGCGGAAGGAUCAUUAUUGAAUGAUACACUUCUGGCUUUAUUCCGUUUUGUUGGCAUGUUGGGAAGUGUGCACACGGAACUGGUCUCUUGAUUUUUCUGCCCCUCCUGAGCACUAACUGUAUACACUCUGUGUCUACGAUUUUUGUUUAAACUCAACAAUUUUACUUGGCAUGUACUACAAAAUAAUAAAAUAUUCAACUUUAAACAACGGAUCUUUAGCCACUCGCAUCGACGAAGAACGUAGCUAAUCCGACGAGCACACG
rnacentral:misc_RNA from 1 species